AGCAGCCGCGGUAAUUCCAGCUCCAAUAGCGUAUAUUAAAGUUGUUGCAGUUAAAAAGCUCGUAGUUGAAUUUCGGGGUCUGUCCGUCGGUCGGGCUUCACGGUCCGUACUGGUGUGAUGGGUUCCUACCUUCUGAAUAGCCGGCAUGCCAUUCAUUUGGUGCGCCGGGAAGCAGAGCUAUUACCUUGAAAAAUUAGAGUGCUUAAAGCAGGCUAGUGCUUGAAUAGAUUAGCAUGGAAUAAUAAAAUAGGACGGCAUGGUUCUAUUUUGUUGGUUUCUAGGAUCACCGUAAUGAUUAAUAGGGAUAGUUGGGGGCAUUAGUAUUCAAUUGUCAGAGGUGAAAUUCUUGGAUUUAUUGGAAGACUAACUUCUGCGAAAGCAUUUGCCAAGGAUGUUUUCAUUAAUCAAG
rnacentral:misc_RNA from 1 species